rnacentral:lncRNA from 1 species
UCUUUGCUCAUUAAUAGAGACUCUUAGAAAGCCAGACCUUUAUAGGAAGAUGUGGGUUUAAGAUCUUUCACCACCUUCUUGAGCAACAUCCUGUCACCAUCAAGACUGAAGGUCAACCAACUGCCCAUGGAGGAAAGGCUUGAGAAAAGCUUUCGCUGUGCCAAAAGGGGGAACUAUUUCUCCUGGAACAGAGUGGACAAAUGUGCAGCAGGUGAACAGAAUCAUAUUUGCUUUCCAGCUGUUGCACCAGCUGUGUCAUGCUGACAGUGGCCUCCACCUGUCUAACUCCUGCUUCCACCAAUUCAGAACCAAGAUAUUUUUAUACUCAUAUCCUGGUAUAAACCAACUGCUGAUGGAAGUUCUUUGAUGCUGAAUUUGGAAUCAAAUACAUUCUACUUUCUGGAAAUCCAUAUACUGGGUGGCUGCUUCAAUAGCAGCGGACACGAGAUGUAAAAUGCAGCAAUGGUCAAGGAAUUUCUCAGGGGAGGAAGGGUCAUGACGUAACCCCCGAAAUGAGUGCAGCUUUUAAUCUCCCACAUCAAGGAGCCUGCUGGCUGCAGACUCAUGCAUAUACAUCACGGUGGUUUCUGGGUGGUUGAUGCUCAUCACCCUCUGACUUCAUUUCUUUUUUCCUUUGCAAAAUGGCUAUUGCCCAGAGGCAGCAUCUCUUUUCUAAAAAGUGAACAUGCCAGAAGGGUUUUUGGAAACGGCCUUGCUAUCUGUCAGGAGCCAGAUGAUUCACAGGGAUGAACCAAUGUACAUAACAAGGAUACCUGAUUGGAUUACCAAUUAGCCGUCUCCACCUCUGCAGGGUGGUUGGAAAGAAGAGAAAAGGCAGUGUUUAGUUUGGGCAAAUACCAAAAGGACUUUAUCAUUCUCAUCAAGGCAUCAGCGUGGCACAUUAGACCUCUUCCAAGCCAUUCCACUGGAACUUCUCUCUCCAAACGCUCCAGCAAGAGUAAACUUGUUAUGCAAACAUUGGAUCAUUGUGUCUGAGCUACAGAAGCAGCUCUGUGUCGGUGAAAGGGGAGAAACUGGCUGACUUGCGUCUGUUUUUAAUGAUGUCGCUGAUGCUGGGAAAAUUUGGAAGCUGCAGCAGGGGUGAUUAUUCUGGAGCCAGUGGCAGAUGCUACAGGAGGGAAGAGGCAUCUUUCAGCAGGAAGCGCCUGUAACAAGUGGCCGCUUCUAGCCUUGUGGAGUUUCACGUUCCUUUGUUUAUCUUUAAAAACAGGAUGAGAAUGAGAAUAUAUUAAUUGCAAGCCAAGAACAUCAGAGGUGGGAUGAUGAUGCUUGUGGCUAUGAGACAGGAUUUCAAGGAUCCCGAUGAAACGUCUGCUGGCCUGAAUCUGUCUGAAUGCUGAAAAGGACUUUGUGUUACUCUAACUGAAAGGAAAACAUAAAAUGAUGAUA